rnacentral:rRNA from 1 species
CAGCCGCCGCGGUAAUACGUAGGGUGCGAGCGCUAAUCGGAAUUACUGGUCGUAAAGCGUGCGCAGGCGGUUGUGUAAGACAGGUGUGAAAUCCCCGGGCUUAACCUGGGAACUGCGCUCGUGACUGCACAGCUAGAGUAUGGCAGAGGGGGGUGGAAUUCCGCGUGUAGCAGUGAAAUGCGUAGAUAUGCGGAGGAACACCGAUGGCGAAGGCAGCCCCCUGGGCCAAUACUGACGCUCAGGCGCGUAAGCGUGGGGAGCAAACAGGAUUAGAUACCCCGGUAGUCCCUGUCUCUUAUAC